GGAACCGGGUGGGUGUGUGCUGUCCAGACACUAGCCGAGAUUUAAAACCUAACAGGUUCUACCUGGCCAAGGAGGAAAACAUGUUCAUUACUGAGGAACUGAUGACCUCCUCAAGCUGAAAGUACAGAAUGUGGGAAGCAUUCCUCUAUGAGCAAGAACUAGACCAGAACAAACCAAGCAAAAAACUAACAAACAACAACAAUAAAAACUGGACCAACUUAGAUGAACUUGCCAGAGUAGAGAACACAGUUGCCCUGCUGUGAAUAACAUUGAUUUGUUUGAAGUGCCAUGCAUGUCCAGAAAUGUUCCAGAGGCAAAGAAGCAAUCCAGCAUACUUUCCCUGGGAGGAAUGAAUGCAGUAUGACAAUUUCUCCAAGGACUGACCAAGAGGAAGGAGGUCAGGAGGUCAGACAAAGCAUCUUCCCUGCCUGGUUCUGAGGUCCUGGUUUACCAAAAACCACAAUCUUGUAUCUUAGCACAUUCUGCCAGAAACUAGAUUGAGCAUGGCAUACAUAUUCUGUGAAAAGGACUGUAAUGCUGUUUCACUGGUUUUGGUGUGGUAAAAUGGAAGCAUGCAACAGGAAGGGCUAGCCUGUGACACUAACUGCUCCUCGGUCAACUCCCAGCUCAUGUUAGCUAGUUUUUAAACAUUUUAGUUUUAAAGCAUAUUUGUACUUGGGAAAGGUACAUGAAAGAAAACACAGAAUAAAAAC
rnacentral:lncRNA from 1 species